AGAGUUUGAUCCUGGCUCAGGAUUAACGCUGGCGGCAUGCCUAAUACAUGCAAGUCGAACGGGAUGCUUAUGCAUCUAGUGGCGAACGGGUGAGUAACACGUAUCUAAUUUACCUAUUUGUGGGGGAUAACUGUUAGAAAUGACAGCUAAUACCGCAUAUGUAAUUCUUAGGCAUCUAAGAAUUAUAAAAGGUUCGUUUGAAUCGCAAAUAGAUAAGGAUGCGCCGCAUUAGUUAGUUGGUAAGGUAACGGCUUACCAAGACGAUGAUGCGUAGCCGACCUGAGAGGGUGAACGGCCACACUGGGACUGAGACACGGCCCAGACUCCUACGGGAGGCAGCAGUAGGGAAUUUUUCACAAUGGACGAAAGUCUGAUGAAGCAAUGCCGCGUGACUGAUGAAGGUCUUCGGAUUGUAAAAGUCUGUUGUAAGGGAAGAAAAGUUAGAAGAGGAAAUGCUUUUAAUUUGACUGUACCUUGCCAGAAAGCCACGGCAAACUAUGUGCCAGCAGCCGCGGUAAUACAUAGGUGGCAAGCGUUAUCCGGAAUUAUUGGGCGUAAAGGGUGCCUAGGUGGUUUUAUAAGUCUAAGGUUAAAGGCUGGAGCUUAACUCCAGUUUGCCUUGGAAACUAUAUAACUAGAGUAUAGAAGAGGUUAGUGGAAUUCCAUGUGUAGCGGUGAAAUGCGUAGAUAUAUGGAGGAACACCAGUGGCGAAGGCGACUAACUGGUCUAUCACUGACACUAAAGCACGAAAGCGUGGGGAGCAAAUAGGAUUAGAUACCCUAGUAGUCCACGCCGUAAACGAUGCUCGUUAGUUGGUGGCAGAGUCACUAGCGCAGUUAACACGUUAAACGAGCCGCCUGAGUAGUAUGCUCGCAAGAGUGAAACUUAAAGGAAUUGACGGGGACCCGCACAAGCGGUGGAGCAUGUGGUUUAAUUCGAAGCUACGCGAAGAACCUUACCCACUCUUGACAUCCUUGGCAAUGCUAUAGAGAUAUAGCGGAGGUUAACCAAGUGACAGGUGGUGCAUGGCUGUCGUCAGCUCGUGUCGUGAGAUGUUAGGUUAAGUCCUGUAACGAGCGCAACCCUCAUCCUUAGUUACUAACAUUUAGUUGAGCACUCUAGGGAGACCGCCGGGGUAACCCGGAGGAAGGCGAGGACGACGUCAGGUCAUCAUGCCUCUUACGAGUGGGGCGACACACGUGCUACAAUGGCAAGUACAAAGAGAAGCAAUACGGUGACGUGGAGCAAAACUGGAAAACUUGUCUCAGUUCGGAUUGAAGUCUGCAACUCGACUUCAUGAAGUCGGAAUCGCUAGUAAUCGUAGGUCAGACAUACUACGGUGAAUACGUUCUCGGGUCUUGUACACACCGCCCGUCACACCAUGGGAGUUGGUAAUACCCAAAGUCGGUAGAUUAACUUCGGAGAUCGCCGCCUAAGGUAGGACCGAUGACUGGGGUGAAGUCGUAACAAGGUAUCCCUACGGGAACGUGGGGCUGGAUCACCUCCUU
rnacentral:rRNA from 1 species